rnacentral:lncRNA from 10 species
AAGGAGCCAUAAUCCCAUAGUACAUUGUAAAGAUACAAUAAGAAAUAAAUAAUUUAUGAUGCAGGAUUAAUACUAUUAAUACCUAUGAUUAAGUAGGCAUCAAAAUUAAUUGGAAAAUGAAAAAUUAUGUUUUUCAGUGGUGCUGACACUCUUGGUUAGCUAUUUUAAAACAUGUUUGACUAAGGUAUUUGGAAAAAAACACUAAAGACAAAUAGCAUUUCUGUAUGUUACUGUGAAAUAAUUGUACUAUAUACAGAAAUUAUAAAAUACAAUAACAUUUCUAUAUGUUACUGUGAAAUAAUUGUAAUAUGUAAACAAUUAUAAAAUAUAUCUAACUCGGGCAACAAAAAUAUAUAAAAUACUUAAGAAUAAAACUAGCACGAUUAUGUAAAAAUCUAGAAGAUAAAAAUAGUACCACUUUAUCGAAGUCACUAAAAGAUCUAAGAGACAGAGACAUGUCAAAACCCUGGAUAAAAAGACCAAAAAUUCUAAAGAUGCCAAUUUACCCAAAUAAAUAAAUAUAUUCAAUGUACUUCUGAACAAGUCCACAAUGGGAAUUUGUGUAAUGCUAAUUAUAUUUGAAAGAAAAAAAUGAAAAUAAAUAUCUUACAUAUUUGUUCAAAAGAUAAGCAAUGAGUGAAACAUGUUUUCCAAGGUUCAAAUAUUAUUGUAAGAGAGAGAAAUGUAUAGAAAGAUGGCUAAAUACUCCUGCAAGUAUCUCCCUGUGGGAACACCAAAUUAAAUACCUAUCCACACAAAAAAGCACUUUCAUAAGAAGCAAAAAUCAGGUGAGUGAUCACAUAAUCUUGAUUUAACAUAAUACCAAGGAAAAAGGCAUUGAAAAGGGUAGGAAAGACAAGUCUUGCAUUGCCUACACCAGUCCUCUCCCAUCUACCCUGGCAGUGUCCUGAAGAGAGACAAUCUGUGUGCUUGGGGGAGAGAGCCACAUGAGUGAGGAAUUUUGCAUUGGAACUCGGUACUUCUGUGUCACAGUGAAGCACAACACGGCAGAAUUCUGCUGGUGCCACAGAGGGAGCAUGUAGACCAGCCCUGGGCUAGAGGGGAAUGCCCUGCCCCAGUGGGAGAAAACCAAGUCCCUGCCAGUUUCAUCACUGACUGACUAAAGUGGCCUGGGGCCCAGAAUAAAUCUGAGAGGCAGUCAGGCCAUAGGAUUACAGUUAUUGGGCAAGCCCUGGUCCCAGCUGCACUGGUCUCAGGGGCAAUGGACUUGGGUUGUGCAUGACCCAUUGUAACACCAGCCGUGGCAACCAAGGAGUGUCUAUCUCAUCCCUCCCCCUACUCCAUCCAGUACAGCUCAGGAGGAGACUCUUCACUUGGAGAAUGGACAGGGAAGAGUACAAAAACAUUGUCGUGCAACUUGGUUUCCAGCUCAGCUACAGUAAAAUAAAGCACUAGGCAGAUUUCUGAAGGCCCUAAUUCCAGGUCUGAGCUCCUGAAUGACAUUUUUAGACCCACACUGGGACAGAAGGGAAUCUGCUAUCCUGAAGGGAAGGAUCCAUUUCUGGCUGGAUUCACCAUCUACUGACAAAAGAGCCCCUGGUCGUGGAAUAAACAUCGGCAGUAGCCAGGCCCCGCUGUGUAAUUACGUCUGGAAUUGGUGGGUUCUUGGUCUCACCGACUUCAAGAAUGAAGCCGUGGAUCCUCGUGGUGAGUGUUACAGCUCUUAAGGUGACGCACCUGGAGUUUGUUCCUUCUGAUGUUCAGAUGUGUUUGGAGUUUCUUCCUUCUGGUGGGUUCGUGGUCUCGUUGGCUCAGGAGUGAAGUUGCAGACCUUGGCGGUGAGUGUUAGAGCUCUUAAGGUAGUGCAUCUGGAGUUGUUCAUUCCUCCCGGUGGGCUUGUGGGCUCUCUAGCUUCAGGAGUGAAGCUGCAGAUCUUCGCAGUGAGUGUUACAGCUCAUGAAAGCAGUGUGGAGUCAAAGAGUGAGCAGUAGCAAGAUUUAUUGCAAAGAGCGAAAGAACAAAGCUUCCACAGGGUGGAAGGG